AAAACAAACCUGGUAUGCUAACAGUAUUUGCCCAUGUGGGAGUCUCAGAAGGCCAAUGCUGAACCACAUUUGAUCCUUGUGAUUGUGAUGUUGUUAUUAUUAUCCCCUCAUAGCUGAGGAUCACUUGCAAGGUCACUCAGCCUGUAAGUGGCAGAGUCGACUGAGUUCAAGUCACUGAAAAAGGCCAAUGGCCCCACAUGGAACAGAUAGGAGGAGGGGCCACAGAGAUGGCCCUGGAGAGCGCUGUGGUCAGAUUCCCGGCCUGCAGAAACAUGCCCUUUAAUUUGGGAGAUGAUUCAGGAGUGCACCACAUGGAGAACCAUCACAUGUGCAUUUAACUUGCACAUUAACAGCCAGACGGAGGAGAGAGGAAGAAGUUCCAUGUGUUCCUGAGGUGCUGUACCAAAUGUAGACUUCCAGGAUUUGCACAGAGGAAGGUUGAACUAAUGGGAAGAGGAUACUCUAAAACUGGAAGUUUGAGAAUUGUUACGAGACCAUGCAGACUCAUAAAAAG